CCUCAACUGCCAAUGAUGAGUUAACUCAUCGUGAACUUUUGGCAAUUUUUGCACAAGUGUAUGUGUUCAGUUUCUCGUAAUUUUGACAAGAACUUAAGUAUUA
rnacentral:lncRNA from 1 species